rnacentral:rRNA from 1 species
GAUGAACGCUGGCGGCGUGCCUAAUACAUGCAAGUCGAGCGAAUGGAUUAAGAGCUUGCUCUUAUGAAGUUCGCGGCGGACGGGUGAGUAACACGUGGGUAACCUGCCCAUAAGACUGGGAUAACUCCGGGAAACCGGGGCUAAUACCGGCUAACAUUUUGAACCGCAUGGUUCGAAAUCGAAAGGCGGCUUCGGCUGUCACUUACGUAUGGACACGCGUCGCAUUAGCUAGUUGGUGAGGUAACGGCGCACCAAGGCAACGAUGCGUAGCCGACCUGAGAGGGUUAUCGGCCACACUGGGACUGAGACACGGCCCAGACGCCUACGGGAGGCAGCAGUAGGGAAUCUUCCGCAAUGGACGAAAGUCUGACGGAGCAACGCCGCGUGAGUGAUGAAGGCUUUCGGGUCGUAAAACUCUGUUGUUAGGGAAGAACAAGUGCUAGUUGAAUAAGCUGGCACCUUGACGGUACCUAACCAGAAAGCCACGGCUAACUACGUGCCAGCAGCCGCGGUAA